AGCAGCCGCUGCAAUUCCAGCUCCAAUAGCGUAUAUUAAAGUCGUUGCAGUUAAAAAGCUCGUAUUUGAAUUUCGGGGUCAGUAGAUUGGUCGUGCCACUGGUAUGUACUGGUCUUACUGGCUCCUCCUUCCUGAUGAACCGUAAUGCCAUUAAUUUGGUGUUGCGGGGAAACAGGACUGUUACUUUGAAAAAAUUAGAGUGCUUAAAGCAGGCAAUCGCUUGAAUACAUUAGCAUGGAAUAAUGAAAUAGGACGUUCGAUCCUAUUUUGUUGGUUUCUAGGAUUGACGUAAUGAUUAAUAGGGAUAGUUGGGGGCAUUAGUAUUCAAUUGUCAGAGGUGAAAUUCUUGGAUUUAU
rnacentral:rRNA from 1 species